rnacentral:rRNA from 1 species
GAUGAACGUUGGCGGCGUGCCUAACACAUGCAAGUCGAACGCUAGUAGCAAUAUUAGAGUGGCGCACGGGUGAGUAACACGUAGCCUACCCACCUCCCAGCGCGGGAUAACGGUUCGAAAGAACUGCUAAUACCGCAUAAGCUCACGGCCUGUAGAGGGCUGCGAGAAAAGGCGCAAGUCACUGGGAGACGGGGCUGCGGCCCAUCAGCUCGUUGGUGAGGUAACGGCUUACCAAGGCGACGACGGGUAGGGGACCGUGA